GUUUGAUCCUGGCUCAGGAUGAACGCUGGCGGCGUGCCUAACACAUGCAAGUCGAACGAACCCGAUCUUCGGAAAGGGUUAGUGGCGGAUGGGUGAGUAACACGUAGGUGACCUGCCCUGAUGAGGGGGAUAACUACUGGAAACGGUAGCUAAUACCCCAUGAUAUCGCCGGUCGAACGGUGAUGAAAGGCGAGAGCCGCAUUAGGAGGGGCCUGCGGCCCAUCAGGUAGUUGGUGGGGUAAUGGCCUACCAAGCCGAUGACGGGUAGCUGGUCUGAGAGGAUGGUCAGCCACACUGGAACUGAAACACGGUCCAGACUCCUACGGGAGGCAGCAGUGAGGAAUACUGCGCAAUGGGCGAAAGCCUGACGCAGCAACGCCGCGUGGGUGAUGAAGGCCUUCGGGUUGUAAAGCCCUUUUCUGAGGGAAGAGGACGGACGGUACCUCAGGAAUAAGUCUCGGCUAACUACGUGCCAGCAGCCGCGGUAAAACGUAGGAGGCGAGCGUUAUCCGGAUUUACUGGGCGUAAAGCGCAUGCAAGUGGUUUUGCAAGUGGGAUGUGAAAGCCCCUGGCUUAACUAGGGGAGGUCGUUCCAGACUGCAAGACUGGAGGUCGGGAGAGGAAAGCGGAAUUCCCGGUGUAGUGGUGGAAUGCGUAGAUAUCGGGAGGAACACCAGUGGCGAAAGCGGCUUUCUGGCCCGCACCUGACACUAAGAUGCGAAAGCGUGGGGAGCGAACGGGAUUAGAUACCCCGGGUAGUCCACGCUGUAAACUACGAGGUACUGGGUAUCGGCGGUAUUGACCCCGUCGGUGCCUAACCCAACGCGUUAGUACCCCCGCCUGGGGACUACGGCCGCAAGGUUAAAACUCCAAGGAUUU
rnacentral:rRNA from 1 species